rnacentral:rRNA from 1 species
UUGAAGAGUUUGAUCAUGGCUCAGAUUGAACGCUGGCGGCAGGCCUAACACAUGCAAGUCGAACGGUAACAGAAAGCAGCUUGCUGCUUUGCUGACGAGUGGCGGACGGGUGAGUAAUGUCUGGGAAACUGCCUGAUGGAGGGGGAUAACUACUGGAAACGGUAGCUAAUACCGCAUAACGUCGCAAGACCAAAGAGGGGGACCUUCGGGCCUCUUGCCAUCGGAUGUGCCCAGAUGGGAUUAGCUAGUAGGUGGGGUAACGGCUCACCUAGGCGACGAUCCCUAGCUGGUCUGAGAGGAUGACCAGCCACACUGGAACUGAGACACGGUCCAGACUCCUACGGGAGGCAGCAGUGGGGAAUAUUGCACAAUGGGCGCAAGCCUGAUGCAGCCAUGCCGCGUGUAUGAAGAAGGCCUUCGGGUUGUAAAGUACUUUCAGCGGGGAGGAAGGGAGUAAAGUUAAUACCUUUGCUCAUUGACGUUACCCGCAGAAGAAGCACCGGCUAACUCCGUGCCAGCAGCCGCGGUAAUACGGAGGGUGCAAGCGUUAAUCGGAAUUACUGGGCGUAAAGCGCACGCAGGCGGUUUGUUAAGUCAGAUGUGAAAUCCCCGGGCUCAACCUGGGAACUGCAUCUGAUACUGGCAAGCUUGAGUCUCGUAGAGGGGGGUAGAAUUCCAGGUGUAGCGGUGAAAUGCGUAGAGAUCUGGAGGAAUACCGGUGGCGAAGGCGGCCCCCUGGACGAAGACUGACGCUCAGGUGCGAAAGCGUGGGGAGCAAACAGGAUUAGAUACCCUGGUAGUCCACGCCGUAAACGAUGUCGACUUGGAGGUUGUGCCCUUGAGGCGUGGCUUCCGGAGCUAACGCGUUAAGUCGACCGCCUGGGGAGUACGGCCGCAAGGUUAAAACUCAAAUGAAUUGACGGGGGCCCGCACAAGCGGUGGAGCAUGUGGUUUAAUUCGAUGCAACGCGAAGAACCUUACCUGGUCUUGACAUCCACAGAACUUUCCAGAGAUGGAUUGGUGCCUUCGGGAACUGUGAGACAGGUGCUGCAUGGCUGUCGUCAGCUCGUGUUGUGAAAUGUUGGGUUAAGUCCCGCAACGAGCGCAACCCUUAUCCUUUGUUGCCAGCGGUCCGGCCGGGAACUCAAAGGAGACUGCCAGUGAUAAACUGGAGGAAGGUGGGGAUGACGUCAAGUCAUCAUGGCCCUUACGACCAGGGCUACACACGUGCUACAAUGGCGCAUACAAAGAGAAGCGACCUCGCGAGAGCAAGCGGACCUCAUAAAGUGCGUCGUAGUCCGGAUUGGAGUCUGCAACUCGACUCCAUGAAGUCGGAAUCGCUAGUAAUCGUGGAUCAGAAUGCCACGGUGAAUACGUUCCCGGGCCUUGUACACACCGCCCGUCACACCAUGGGAGUGGGUUGCAAAAGAAGUAGGUAGCUUAACCUUAGGGAGGGCGCUUACCACUUUGUGAUUCAUGACUGGGGUGAAGUCGUAACAAGGUAACCGUAGGGGAACCUGCGGUUGGAUCACCUCCUU